GGCCGGGCCAGCCUCCCUCACAGGACUACCGAGGAAGAGGUAGGAUUUCACUCUGUCACCCAGGCGGGAGUGCAGUGGUGCGAUCAUAGCGGGGACUACAAGUGUGCACCACAUGCUUGUCUACGAACCUGAAGUAUUCUGAUGCAGUGGAGAGAGUGUAGAACUCUGGAGUGAAGAGAUCUGCCUGGAACCCUGACUCUAUCACUAGGAGAUUCCUUGGAAUGAAACCAAUGGGAGUCCAGGGUUUGGGAGAGUCUCAUCAGAGCAGAUGGGCGAGCAGCAGCCAGAACGCUUGUUGCCUUUGGCUGAGAACACUAUCCUGGAUCUGAAUGUCUUGUGAGCAAACCCCAGCAGGCUCAGCCUUAGGCCUGAGUGAAGUUGGCCUGCUUCUCCUUAAUGAACCUUGUGUACUCUCUCAUCUCCCUUCCCCUCUUUUGCAUGUUGAAAAUCACAUUCUCAGAGCACUCUUGAAGCUAAAACCACGUUGCCCGUUAGCAGCCCCAGUAGGAUGGCAUCUUAAUGCUUUUGGUCCCUUGAUAUAUUUGGAAGUGUACUGCAUGGAGGGUCAGGAGGCCUGGUUUUAGCUCUUACCCAACCACUAAUUUUCCCUGAGACCAUAGGCAAAUUGUUCAUCCCUGGGCCACACUUUCCUUAGCUGUAAAGUUGUUUAUAAUAAGAAUAGCUUUCAUUUAGGAAAUUUUUACUGUAUACCAGAUAUAGUAUCAUUGAAUUCCUUCAACAAUCCUAUGGCAUGGGUACUUUUUUUUAUAUGGAAUCUUGCUCUGUCACCCAGGCUGGA
rnacentral:lncRNA from 1 species